CACUGUCUCACGCAAGGCUCACCAUGCAGAGUGGAUGGAUACAGAGCGCUUCCUUCCGUCUUAUAGAUUGUGCACCUGUUUAGCGUGGCCCCAAGACUAGGGCUGUGCAUGUCACACACACGAAGACACUGGUGGACUGGGCUUUCUGAGCAGGUCUCGAUUCUGCCAGUCAACAGUCUGAAAGUUCAGGAUCUCCUGAUCAGAAGCAGGACGUCCAUAUGCAGGCUGCACUGGAGGCCGCUCUUUUGAAAUCCUGCCAGCAAAAGGAAGAGAUCCUCAGAGGAGAAGAAGGCAAGGCAUAUAGCUACUGACAUGCUGGUAUAGAGAAAAACAGAGGCAGGAGGUAGUACAUUGUGACCAGCACUAGCCUGGAUCCAAGCUGUCUUUCAAGAAUGGACAAUAAGGGGCUGGAGAAAUGGCUCAGUGGUUAAGAUCACUGACUGCUCUUCCAGAGGUCCUGAGUUCAAUUCCCAGCAAUCACAUGAUGGCUUACAACCGUCAGAAACGGGAUCAGAUGUCUUCUUCUGGUGUGUCUGAAGACAGCAACAGUGUACUUGCAUACAUUAAGUAAAUAAAUAAAUAAAUAUUUUUUAAAAAGAA
rnacentral:lncRNA from 1 species